rnacentral:rRNA from 1 species
UCCUGGCUCAGAUUGAACGCUGGCGGCAGGCCUAACACAUGCAAGUCGAGCGGUAGCACAGAGAGCUUGCUCUCGGGUGACGAGCGGCGGACGGGUGAGUAAUGUCUGGGAAACUGCCUGAUGGAGGGGGAUAACUACUGGAAACGGUAGCUAAUACCGCAUAACGUCGCAAGACCAAAGAGGGGGACCUUCGGGCCUCUUGCCAUCAGAUGUGCCCAGAUGGGAUUAGCUAGUAGGUGGGGUAACGGCUCACCUAGGCGACGAUCCCUAGCUGGUCUGAGAGGAUGACCAGCCACACUGGAACUGAGACACGGUCCAGACUCCUACGGGAGGCAGCAGUGGGGAAUAUUGCACAAUGGGCGCAAGCCUGAUGCAGCCAUGCCGCGUGUAUGAAGAAGGCCUUCGGGUUGUAAAGUACUUUCAGCGGGGAGGAAGGUGUUGUGGUUAAUAACCACAGCAAUUGACGUUACCCGCAGAAGAAGCACCGGCUAACUCCGUGCCAGCAGCCGCGGUAAUACGGAGGGUGCAAGCGUUAAUCGGAAUUACUGGGCGUAAAGCGCACGCAGGCGGUCUGUCAAGUCGGAUGUGAAAUCCCCGGGCUCAACCUGGGAACUGCAUCCGAAACUGGCAGGCUUGAGUCUUGUAGAGGGGGGUAGAAUUCCAGGUGUAGCGGUGAAAUGCGUAGAGAUCUGGAGGAAUACCGGUGGCGAAGGCGGCCCCCUGGACAAAGAC